rnacentral:tmRNA from 1 species
CCUCUUCCAUCCGCAGCCAGCCCACCCUAUAUUGUUCUUGCCGGCUUUCGGGUCGGCUAUGGCAAUAAACGGGCGAUGAAAUAAGCCUAUCGGACCCGGGUGCGAUUCCCGGCGCCUCCACCACGAACCGUUGAAAAUUCGGAUUUGGCAACGGCUGGUGAUGGGGGCGAAAUAGGAUCGACGAGGGUGUAAAGAUCGACUUUUUGCCCGGCAUGAUACCACCGUUAUCGGGUCGAACCUUAUAGUUGCCAACGACAACUAUGCUGAGGCACGUCUCGCUGCGUAAGCAGCGCGAUAGUCUCGAAUUGAAGUCCUGAGAAGCUAGCACUUUUCAGGCGGGGCCCGGAGGCGCCUGGCAACAGAAGCCUCCACU